AUGUCCGUUGCGCAGCCCCGACGCUCGCGCACCCCUGCAGCCUCGCCUUCGGCCGCACGGUCCCAACCGAAGCCGCCGCUACCGUUCAGGUCGACCAGCGCCGGCCUCGACCUUCUCCCUCGCCCUCGGCUCGCGCCUCCUUCCUCGCCCUGGAUGUUGCAGGGAGCUCAAGCCCCGCAGUCGGUCGCCCGCAACCUCCUCCUCCUGGCUCUGCUCCGUCCCUCCAUCGCCUCUGCCGCGCCUCCCUUCGCUUCUUCUGCUGCAGUGCACGGCCACCGUGAGUUCCCCUUCCCUCGUCUCGCGCCAACAAACCCGGCCAUCUUUGUCUCAUGUACGAGCCCGAGACGCAUGCUGCACGUCCACAUCCUGAUCGGCCUCCCCUUCCUUUUGCCUUCCCCUGCUCGCCUUCAAACUUUGGCCGCCGGAUCCAUGGUAGCCGUCGUGGGCUCAUCGCCAUGCUGCUGCCCUGCCUUUGCAGUCGGCCCUGCAACCUUUGCCUGCUCUGAACUUCCUGUACGAGGCCUCCACCACGCGUGUGCGUCCAGCGCCCCGUGUGUCUUCAUUGUUGUGUGA
rnacentral:rRNA from 1 species